rnacentral:rRNA from 1 species
UCAUUGUCGAUACCUGUCCAAAACAGAACGACCCGUGAACGUGUAAUACCAACAUAAUGCUAUUGAUCUCCCUCCCCGCUUGUCGGCGCGCGCUUCGCCUCCUAGCUGGCUGGGGGUAACGAACCCCGGCGCAGUGGGCGCCAAGGAAACACUUUUUGGAAGCGUCGUCGCGGCCUCCUCCUCCCUCGCGGACGGAGGGAGGGGGAACGCGGGCGUGGAUAUAAAUAUCGUAUUCUGUUAAACGACUCUCGGCAACGGAUAUCUUGGCUCGCGCAUCGAUGAAGAACGUAGCGAAAUGCGAUACUUGGUGUGAAUUGCAGAAUCCCGUGAACCAUCGAGUUUUUGAACGCAAGUUGCGCCCGAGGCCAUCCGGCCAAGGGCACGCCUGCCUGGGCGUCACGCAUCCCGUCGCUCCUCGCAUACCAUCCAAUGGGAAUGCGCGGAUGCGGAGAUUGGCCCCCCGUGCCCCGUGCGCGGCGGUCAAGUGCGGGCCGUCGUCGGCCGGGCGCGGCUAGUGGUGGACGAGAUUCGUUGUGCCUACUCUUCGUGUCCCGACCCUCACCGCGACGUGCCGUCGUCGGACCCCUCACCAAGGAGCAGCGCAGGAAUGACAUCCUGAACGCGACCCAGGUCAGGCGGGGCUACCCGCUGAGUUUAAACAUAUC